AUUGAACGCUGGCGGCACGCUUAACACAUGCAAGUCGAGCGGUAGCAUGAGUAGUAGCAAUACUACUUGAUGACGAGCGGUGGACGGGUGAGUAACACGUAGGAACUUGCCCAAUAGAGGGGGACAACUAAGGGAAACUUUAGCUAAUACCGCAUAUACUCGAGAGAGGAAAGCUGCCGCAAGGUGGCGCUAUUGGAGAGGCCUGCGUCUGAUUAGCUAGUUGGUGAGGUAAAGGCUCACCAAGGCGAUGAUCAGUAACUGGUCUGAGAGGACGACUAGUCACACUGGGACUGAGACACGGCCCAGACUCCUACGGGAGGCAGCAGUGGGGAAUCUUGGACAAUGGGGGCAACCCUGAUCCAGCGAUGCCGCGUGAGUGAAGAAGGCCUUCGGGUCGUAAAGCUCUUUAGGUUGGGAAGAAGUUUGGUAUUUUAAGAGAUAACCAAUUUGACUGUACCGACAGAAUAAGCACCGGCAAACUCUGUGCCAGCAGCCGCCGUAA
rnacentral:rRNA from 1 species